rnacentral:rRNA from 1 species
AUUGAACGCUGGCGGCAGGCCUAACACAUGCAAGUCGAACGAGUGGCGGACGGGUGAGUAAUGCCUAGGAAUCUGCCUGGUAGUGGGGGAUAACGUCCGGAAACGGGCGCUAAUACCGCAUACUAUCAGAUGUGCCCAGGUGGGAUUAGCUAGUAGGUGGGGUAACGGCUCACCUAGGCGACGAUCCCUAGCUGGUCUGAGAGGAUGACCAGCCACACUGGAACGGAGACACGGGCCAGACGCCUACGGGAGGCAGCAGUGGGGAAUAGUGCACAAUGGGCGCAAGCCUGAUGCAGCCAUGCCGCGUGUAUGAAGAAGGCCUUCGGGUUGUAAAGUACUUUCAGCGGGGAGGCGUUACCCGCAGAAGAAGCACCGGCUAACUCCGUGCCAGCAGCCGCGGUAAUAC